AGAUUGAACGCUGGCGGAAUGCUUUACACAUGCAAGUCGAACGGCAGCACGGGACUCAGGCAACUGAGCCCUGGUGGCGAGUGGCGAACGGGUGAGUAACAUAUCGGAACGUACCCAGUCGUGGGGGAUAACUCUCCGAAAGGAGAGCUAAUACCGCAUACGUCCUGAGGAGAAAGCGGGGACUAAGGGUAACUGAGGGCCUCGCGCGAUUGGAGCGGCCGAUAUCGGA
rnacentral:rRNA from 1 species